CCUACGGGCGGCAGCAGUCGGGAAUAUUGCGCAAUGGAGGAAACUCUGACGCAGUGACGCCGCGUGCAGGAAGAAGGUUUUCGGAUUGUAAACUGCUUUAGACAGGGAAGAAAAAAGACAGUACCUGUAGAAUAAGCUCCGGCUAACUACGUGCCAGCAGCCGCGGUAAUACGUAGGGGGCAAGCGUUAUCCGGAUUUACUGGGUGUAAAGGGAGCGUAGACGGCUUGGCAAGCCAGAUGUGAAAGGCUGGGGCUCAACCCCAGGACUGCAUUUGAAACUGUCAUGCUAGAGUGUCGGAGAGGCAGGCGGAAUGCGUAGUGUAGCGGUGAAAUGCGUAGAUAUUGGGAGGAACACCAGUGGCGAAGGCGGCCUGCUGGACGAUGACUGACGUUGAGGCUCGAAAGCGUGGGGAGCGAACAGGAUUAGAUACCCUUGUAGUC
rnacentral:rRNA from 1 species